UACGUAGGGUGCAAGCGUUAAUCGGAAUUACUGGGCGUAAAGCGUGCGCAGGCGGUUUUGUAAGUCUGUCGUGAAAUCCCCGGGCUCAACCUGGGAACUGCAUUUGUGACUGUAGAGCUGGAGUACGGUAGAGGGGGAUGGAAUUCCGCGUGUAGCAGUGAAAUGCGUAGAUAUGCGGAGGAACACCGAUGGCGAAGGCAAUCCCCUGGACCUGUACUGACGCUCAUGCACGAAAGCGUGGGGAGCAAACAGG
rnacentral:rRNA from 1 species